rnacentral:rRNA from 1 species
UCCUUUGAAGUUAGCGGCGGACGGGUGAGUAACACGUGGGUAACCUACCUAUAAGACUGGAAUAACUUCGGGAAACCGGAGCUAAUGCCGGAUAACAUUUGGAACCGCAUGGUUCUAAAGUAAAAGAUGGUUUUGCUAUCACUUAUAGAUGGACCCGCGCCGUAUUAGCUAGUUGGUAAGGUAACGGCUUACCAAGGCAACGAUACGUAGCCGACCUGAGAGGGUGAUCGGCCACACUGGAACUGAGACACGGUCCAGACUCCUACGGGAGGCAGCAGUAGGGAAUCUUCCGCAAUGGACGAAAGUCUGACGGAGCAACGCCGCGUGAGUGAUGAAGGUUUUCGGAUCGUAAAACUCUGUUAUUAGGGAAGAACAAAUGUGUAAGUAACUGUGCACAUCUUGACGGUACCUAAUCAGAAAGCCACGGCUAACUACGUGCCAGCAGCCGCGGUAAUACGUAGGUGGCAAGCGUUAUCCGGAAUUAUUGGGCGUAAAGCGCGCGUAGGCGGUUUCUUAAGUCUGAUGUGAAAGCCCACGGCUCAACCGUGGAGGGUCAUUGGAAACUGGGAAACUUGAGUACAGAAGAGGA